CUAGGGGGUCACCUGAUUCAUUCACCUGACGUGUCAUUCACGUGACCUGUUGUAGCAGGUAGAUAGCUACCGGGUUGCAGGCCCUUUGUUUAAAUUGAAUGGCGCGGCAAACACAGUGGUGAGAGCACUGUUUUGCGUGUGGAUUUUUGGCCGGCGGUGAUUUAACAGAGCGGUACACUGCAGUCAUCCUGCCCGUUUGCUUCCUUGGGCUUUUGUGCAACAUUAUCUGCAGCUCGCUUGGAUUUGUUGGUUCCGAGCAAGAGGUCAGCCGACUAAAUGCGUGCAGUUGCGGGGGAUUUUAAAGAGGUAAAUUAAUUAAAGCUGUGGUACAUUUUAAUAAGGGGAAUGUAUAACUGUUGUGUAUUGACUGUGUAACCUAUAUAUCAUGUAAACCAUGUAGUGGGCAGGAAACUGAUGGUUUUGUUUGUGACUUUCAGGAACGACCUGUAGCCACUUUUUCCCACCACCAUUGAUUGUGUAGCCUAUCAUGUAUUGUGAUGUCUUACCUAAACCGACGAUAUAGUGGUAGCUCGUUUGUAUAGGUAUCCUAGCUCAUAUCGAUAGUACAUCCAUACUGGUAUCUUAUUUGAUCUAAACCUAUUGAUAGUCCAUCCACACUGGUAGCUUGCAGUCCUAUUGAUAGCCCACCCACACUGAUAGCUGUCGGUGAUCCAAACCUAGUCCAUUCAUACUGGUAGCGUGUUUGAUUUAAAGCUUGGUCAUUCAUACUGGUAGCGUACUUGAUCCAAACCUAUUGAUAGUCCAUUCAUACUGGUAGCGUGCAGCCAUAUUAAUAGCUUAUCCACACGGGUAGUUUGCUUGGUGUCUUAAGCUAGAGUAGCAGCGGUCAUACUGGAGCUGUGGCAUUAGGUCUAUUUACGUAUGUGCGUACUUUGUGUGUGAAACCACCUCCAAGUUGUUAGUUUUCUUUAUAUUUUGGUGGUGAGGCUUAUUCUUUUCUUUGUUUUCCUUUUCAUCCUUGCCAUGAUUACUGUGUGUGUGCCCUAUUUGGGGGUUGAAAUAUUUGCUUGAAGAUUAUCAUUUCAAUGGUUUGCAUUUGUUUUGUAGUGGGUACCCUAUACUGAAUACGGCUUAAUACUACAACAGUAUUGAUUAGAGUACAUCUAUCUAUUCAUCCAGCUUUUAUACCAUGACAA